rnacentral:rRNA from 1 species
GAUGAACGCUGGCGGCGUGCCUAAUACAUGCAAGUCGAGCGAACGGACGAGAAGCUUGCUUCUCUGAGGUUAGCGGCGGACGGGUGAGUAACACGUGGAUAACCUACCUAUAAGACUGGGAUAACUUCGGGAAACCGGAGCUAAUACCGGAUAAUAUUUUUAAACGCAAGGUUCAAAAGUGAAAGACGGUCUUGCUGUCACUUAUAGAUGGAUCCGCGCUGCAUUAGCUAGUUGGUAAGGUAACGGCUUACCAAGGCAACGAUGCAUAGCCGACCUGAGAGGGUGAUGGGCAACACUGGAACUGAGACACGCUCCAGACUCCUACGGGAGGCAGCAGUAGGGAAUCUUCGGCAAUGAGCGAAGGCCUGACGGAGCAACGCCGCGUGAGUGAUGAAGGUCUUCGGAUCGUAAAACUCUGUUAUUAGGGAAGAACAUAUGUGUAAGGAACCGUGCACAUCUUGACGGUACCUACUCAGAAAGCCACGGCUAACUACGUG